CGGCGACUAACUAAAAAUUAUAUGGGACGGUGAUGUUCUGAAAACAGAGAGCUAUUUAUGGUAAAGGAAACAAUAUAAAAGAACUGUAUAUACCUUUAUAUCAUCGAAAAAAGAAGAAGAAAAAGUCACUUAAAAGAUAUUAAAUCGUUAUUUAUAACAUAUAUCCUACAUAUACCUUUGUCGAGAUUCUUGAUAAGAAUAUGUAAAACAGUUGUCCUGCCAGCACGACCAUCCAAAUCAGGAGCAUCCAAAUCAAGUUGAGAAGUGCAAGUUGUACAGAUCAUCUUCACUAUAUCAUAGUACCCCCUU
rnacentral:lncRNA from 1 species